rnacentral:rRNA from 1 species
GACGAACGCUGGCGGCGUGCUUAACACAUGCAAGUCGUACGGUAAGGCCCUUUCGGGGGUACACGAGUGGCGAACGGGUGCGUAACACGUGAGUAACCUGCCCACAACUUUGGGAUAACGCUAGGAAACUGGUGCUAAUACUGGAUAUGUGCUCCAGCUGCAUGGUGGGGGUUGGAAAGCUCCGGCGGUUGUGGAUGGACUCGCGGCCUAUCAGCUUGUUGGUGGGGUAGUGGCCUACCAAGGCGGCGACGGGUAGCCGGCCUGAGAGGGUGACCGGCCACAUUGGGACUGAGAUACGGCCCAGACUCCUACGGGAGGCAGCAGUGGGGAAUAUUGCACAAUGGGCGCAAGCCUGAUGCAGCAACGCCGCGUGCGGGAUGACGGCCUUCGGGUUGUAAACCGCUUUCAGCAGGGACGAAGCUUUUUGUGACGGUACCUGCAGAAGAAGCACCGGCUAACUACGUG